rnacentral:rRNA from 1 species
AACGAACGCUGGCGGCAUGCCUAACACAUGCAAGUCGAACGAGACCUUCGGGUCUGGUGGCGCACGGGUGCGUCACGCGUGGGAACCUGCCCUUAGGUUCGGAAUACCUCCCCUACAGGGGUGCUAAUACCGGAAAAUUUCUUCUAACCAAAGAUUGAUCGCCUUUGGAUGAGCCCGCGUUCGCUUAGCUAGUUGGUAGUGUAAGAGCCUAUCACGGCGACGAUCCUUAGCUGGUCUGAGAGGAAGAUCAGCCACACUUGGAGUGAGACACGGCGCAGACUCCUACGGGAGGCAGCAGUGGGGAAUAUUGGACAACGGGGGGAAGCAUGAUGCAGCAAGGCUGCGUGAGUGAUGAAGUCCGGAGAGUUGUAAAGCUCUUUUACCCGGGAUGAUAAUGACAGUACCGGGAGAAUAAGCGCCGGCUAACUUCGUG